rfam:Nitrospira sp. SG-bin1 contig435, whole genome shotgun sequence.
AAAACCUUUAAUGCUCAUCCAGUGAGGUGAGCAAGGAGCCAUCAUGGAGGGUGAUCCGGCUACGGCCGGUUUGAGAUUGACCUUCUCACCACAAUAGGGUGAGGAGGUUUUUUUGU